rnacentral:rRNA from 1 species
AACGCGAAGAACCUUACCUACCCUUGACAUGUCAGGAAUCCCGAAGAGAUUUGGGAGUGCCGCAAGGAACCUGAACACAGGUGCUGCAUGGCUGUCGUCAGCUCGUGUCGUGAGAUGUUGGGUUAAGUCCCGCAACGAGCGCAACCCUUGUCAUUAGUUGCCAUCAUUUAGUUGGGCACUCUAAUGAGACUGCCGGUGACAAACCGGAGGAAGGUGGGGAUGACGUCAAGUCCUCAUGGCCCUUAUGGGUAGGGCUUCACACGUCAUACAAUGGUCGGUACAGAGGGUUGCCAACCCGCGAGGGGGAGCCAAUCCCAGAAAGCCGAUCGUAGUCCGGAUCGUAGUCUGCAACUCGACUACGUGAAGUCGGAAUCGCUAGUAAUCGCGGAUCAGAAUGCCGCGGUGAAUACGUUCCCGGGUCUUGUACACACCG